GAUGAACGCUGGCGGCGUGCCUAAUACAUGCCAGUCGAGCGAACAGACGAGGAGCUUGCUCCUCUGACGUUAGCGGCAGACGGGUGAGUAACACGUGGAUAACCUACCUAUAAGACUGGGAUAACUUCGGGAAACCGGAGCUAAUACCGGAUAAUAUAUUGAACCGCAUGGUUCAAUAGUGAAAGACGGUUUUGCUGUCACUUAUAGAUGGAUCCGCGCCGCAUUAGCUAGUUGGUAAGGUAACGGCUUACCAAGGCAACGAUGCGUAGCCGACCUGAGAGGGUGAUCGGCCACACUGGAACUGAGACACGGUCCAGACUCCUACGGGAGGCAGCAGUAGGGAAUCUUCCGCAAUGGGCGAAAGCUUGACGGAGCAACGCCGCGUGAGUGAUGAAGGUCUUCGGAUCGUAAAACUCUGUUAUUAGGGAAGAACAAAUGUGUAAGUAACUAUGCACGUCUUGACGGUACCUAAUCAGAAAGCCACGGCUAACUACGUG
rnacentral:rRNA from 1 species